ACGCUCGACACCUACGGGAGCAGCAGUAGGGAAUCUUCCACAAUGGACGCAAGUCUGAUGGAGCAACGCCGCGUGAGUGAAGAAGGUCUUCGGAUCGUAAAACUCUGUUGUUAGAGAAGAACACGAGUGAGAGUAACUGUUCAUUCGAUGACGGUAUCUAACCAGCAAGUCACGGCUAACUACGUGCCAGCAGCCGCGGUAAUCUGAGGCGGGCGUGGCGAAGGC
rnacentral:rRNA from 1 species